rnacentral:rRNA from 1 species
CCUACGGGAGGCAGCAGUAAGGAAUCUUCCACAAUGGACGAAAGUCUGAUGGAGCAACGCCGCGUGCAGGAUGAAGGCUUUCGGGUCGUAAACUGCUUUUAUAUGGGAAGAUUAUGACGGUACCAUAUGAAUAAGGACCGGCUAACUACGUGCCAGCAGCCGCGGUAAUACGUAGGGUCCAAGCGAUAUCCGGAAUUACUGGGCGUAAAGCGUGUGUAGGUGGAUUAAUAAGUGUGAUGCGAAAUCCGGCGGCUCAACCGUUUGGACUGUGUCGCAUACUGUUAGUCUAGAGGACGGCAGAGGUAAGUGGAAUUACGGGUGUAGCAGUGAAAUGCGUAGAUAUCCGUAGGAACACCAAUGGCGAAGGCAGCUUACUGGGCCACACCUGACACUGAGACACGAAAGCGUGGGGAGCGAACAGGAUUAGAUACCCUGGUAGUCCACGCCGUAAACGAUGCAUACUAUUAGUAUGGGGUAUCGACCCCUGUGCUGAGAAGCUAACGCGAUAAGUAUGCCGCCUGGGGAGUACGAGCGCAAGCUUAAAACUCAAAUGAAUUGACGG